rnacentral:rRNA from 1 species
ACUCAAAUGAAUAGACGGGGACCCGCACAAGCGGUGGAGCAUGUGGUUUAAUUCGACGCAACGCGAAGAACCUUACCUGGGUUAAAUCAAAGGUGUAAGGCUGAGAGAUCAGUCCCCCUAGCAAUAGGCGCUUUUGAAGGUGCUGCAUGGCUGUCGUCAGCUCGUGUCGUGAGAUGUUGGGUUAAGUCCCGCAACGAGCGCAACCCUUACCACUAGUUGCCAGCAUUCAGUUGGGCACUCUAGCGGAACUGCCGGUGAUAAACCGGAGGAAGGUGGGGAUGACGUCAAGUCAUCAUGGCCUUUAUGUCCAGGGCUACACACGUGCUACAAUGGCCGGUACAAACCGUUGCAAACUCGCGAGAGGGAGCCAAUCGGAAAAAGCCGGUCUCAGUUCGGAUUGGAGUCUGCAACUCGACUCCAUGAAGUUGGAAUCGCUAGUAAUCGCAGAUCAGCACGCUGCGGUGAAUACGUUCCCGGGUCUUGUACACACCGCCCGU